rfam:Asian citrus Psyllid, Diaphorina citri - Florida Strain, whole genome shotgun sequence.
GCCUAGUUAGCUUCGUUGGUAGUGCGUCUGCCUUGUAAGCGCUAGGCCGCGGGUUCGAUUCCCGCCCGGGGCG